rnacentral:lncRNA from 1 species
GCUAUGGAUGUGGAUCAGUUGUCAGGUGCCUUUGAGUUCAAUCCAUGCUCUCCCCCAAAAAAUUGUGGAACAGAGUUGAAGAAAUAUAAAUUUGUAGAGGAAAAUGUGAGAGUGUGAAAAGUUAAAUUCACAAGAAAAUUUUGGUAGGAUUAUAUUCUCUUGUUUUAUUGUCUUUGUAUUUUCAUUCAGACAUAUUUUGUUUUUAAACAUAGGCAAAAGAUGUAUAGAGACUGAGGUGUUUAAUACCCAGGUUUUUCCAGUUACGCAUGUAGCCACAUUCUUAUCUAUAUUACUGUGUCACUUAGCAGAAGUCAACAUAGUUGACCAGUUUUCUUUUCUGACAUCUGUUCCUUUGGCUUUGAAUAAACAACAAUGUUCCUUCUCAGUUUUCCUUUGAGCCUCCUAGUUCAUACAAAUAUUCAACGUUGAAAUUCCUCCGGAUUUAAUCUUAGAGGUUCAUCUGACUGUAAACUUUUUCUUUAGGCUAUAUUCAUUCCCAAAAUACCAGGUACCAUCUAUCUACACACAACAUUUUUUCUUGUUUCUCAACACGACACCAGUUUUUCCUGUGUCCCAGAUCUCAAACUCAACUAAUUGCCUACCUAUCUCUGCAGCUGAAUGUAUAAUAGGAUCUUCAAAUUCAACACGUUCUGAAUAUUAGAACAGUGUGAAGAACACUUUAAAAAUAUAUGCUUGCUUGAGUCCCAUCUUGAAAGAGUCUUACUCAGUCUGGUUAGGUCCCCAAAACUAUAAUAAUAAGAGUAAUUAUAUAAUUCUAAGAAAUUUUAAUAUAUCAACAGUGGUCCUUUUGAGAACCAUUGCUAUAAUUCAUUUGCUUCUCUCCAUUUGAUUUUUCCACAUUCUAAUAAAAACUAAAAUAUUCUCAGACUACCACAGUAGCAUCUUAAGGUGUCUCUUUGCUUCAGCCUCUUUUUCCUUUCUCUUUAUUGCACCUGAGUGCUUUAUUUUUAAGUGCAUAAUGUCUGUGCUUAAUACCCUUUAGUUACAACCCACUACACUUACGUUGGAGAAUAAAACAUCAAAUAUGGUUUAAAAAUCACAGGUUUGAUUUGCUUCAUAGUUGUCCAUCCUCCUUCCUUGCCAUGGCACCCCCUCUCCACUAUUCUUGACAUUACAGCUACUUUGACCUUUCAUUAAUUCGAUUAUAAUGCAUUUUUUUUAUUAUUGUUUUCACAGGACUUGGGCAUGCCAGUCUUUUGAUCUGGGCCACUAGUGCACCCUCAUUUUUUUUUUUCUGGUUAACUGCUUAUGUAAGUUUUCAUCUCCUGUCUAUAUUCCCUUAGCAUUUCCUCUCCUGCUCCUGCUUAUUGCAUAGUGCUCAGCACUGGGAGUCUGUAUCAAGAAUAAUUAGAAAAUAAUUAGAAAAUAUUUACUGAGCACUUAGCAUGUAUCAAGCACAAUGUUGAGAGCCACAGCCAAGGGGCCCCAGCAAACUUUCAGACUGCCAGCUGAUGAUUGGCUCACAGCGGCCCCAGCAACUUCUAGCUGAUUGGCUCCUCGGCGGUGAUGCUCAUUGGGCUGUUUCCCUGCCCUUUCAGACCACGGAGCUGCUCAUUGGGGGACAUUUUUGGCUCCGCCCAUGCGACCCAGCCAAUCGGCCUCAAGAGCAGGAGGAGUGGGGGAGGUUGAGAGGCUUGUGGGAAGCCGGUGGUGGCAGUUGGGCUCUGAAGGUUUUCCUGAGGAGCUGUUUUGUUUGGCAUGUGUGGUUCUAAAAAUAAAGUUCGUUUCUUUUGACAAGUGGCUCCUGAAUUGUGCCCAGCCAGACUUCUGCAGUACAAAGCAUUAAAUAUCAAGAGUGAAUUGUUGUCAUCACUUCCUCCUAUUCAGCCAUGGGAGCUUCAAAAUGUAAUCAACAAUAGGGCAGUAACAGGUUUCCCCAAGAAUGUCCACGGUUAUAUUGCAGAUGUUAAAUGUGCAUUGUUCCCUGGAUCAAAUUUAGAGCAAAAACAUAGACACAGAGUUCUAUGAGCACAACCAACAACCAACCAACAUCUGGACAUUUACUAUGAGCCAGGCAGUGUGCUAAGUUCUUUGGAUGUGUUGCCUCAUUUAAUACAGCAACAUUGAGAUAAGUGCUAUUAAAACAAUCCAUAUCUUACAGAUGAGUAUAGCAAGUCUUACAGACUGCAAGGAACUUAUUAAAAACCUCUCAGUUUGCAACUGGAAGAACCAGAGCUGGAAAUACCAAGCCACAGAUUUAAAAUGUCAUGCUUAUGUUUGUCACGUCAUACACACUUAUGUACAGCAUGUGAGACCUGUCUGGGUGGGUUGGUGAACAGAUGGGAAAGGAUAGUUUUUAAUGGAAAUGUUGAGAGUGUAGGGAAUUCAUAAAUACCUGAAAGUGAAUGGUAACAGAGUGAAAAUUUUUCAGUAGAAAGAGGAA